rnacentral:tRNA from 1 species
GGAGAGGUGGCCGAGUGGUUGAAGGCGCAGCAUUGGAAAUGCUGUUUAAGUUUAUUCUUAACGAGGGUUCGAAUCCCUCUCUCUCUU